AAUUUAUANGGAANCCNAAGGGUUAAAUCAUUCAUAUUUUAUUUNAAAUUGACUUGCUACAUGGAUAACCGGGGUAAUUCUAAACCUAAAACUUGCGUAAAGGCCCUUUCCGGGGCUGUAUUUAUUAUAUUUAUCCCAACCCGGNCGACCGGCAGGUGGUGAUUCAUAUNAACUGGGCUAAUCGCUGCGGCGAUGCAUCAUUCANAUUUCUGCCCNAUCNNUUUCGAUGGUAGGAUCGAGGCCUACCAUGGUGGCAACGGGUAGCGGGCAAUANGUAACGGGGAAUAA
rnacentral:rRNA from 1 species